UCUCCGUAGGUGAACCUGCGGAGGGAUCAUUACAGAGUUCUCGCCCUCACGGGUAGAUCUCCCACCCACUGUUAUCGUUACUGUCGUUUCUUUGGCGGGCCGCCGGGUCCCCGGCCGCCGGCGCCUAGCUGCCGGCGCGCGCCCGCCAGAGGCCUCCAAACUCUGAAUGUUAGUGUCGCCUGAGUACUAUAUAAUAGUUAAAACUUUCAACAACGGAUCUCUUGGUUCUG
rnacentral:misc_RNA from 1 species